UUAGCAGCGACGGUGAGCACUUCUAUGUUCAACGGGAACGAAGACAGAGCUUGCGUUGCCGACUUUAGGUUUGUUUGCGUCGUGGGCGACGUCGCUAUGGCAGCUUACGGAGCUUAGACGUCGCGACACUUCAACCUUGAAGAUUUGAGCUUGGGCAUAUGGAUUUCACUAGAUCCGUGACAAAUUUUGAAUGAAAGAGGUAUAGAUGGGGCGGUUGUACUGAGUUUGAAGGAGAGAGAGUGGUUUCUUAUAUAGAGGGGAGUGGUUUUAAGAGAGAAACCAUUUUUAGGGUUUCAAGUGAGAGGAAAGUGAAUGAAAAGGCGUGGAAGGGUAUCUAUGUCUUUUCCUUUACUGAAAAGGUCAUAUUUAAGUGUUUCUAAAAGAAGGGUUAGAUUUAAAAAAUAUUUAUUACCAGGGGUCAUUUUUCAAAAAAACCCUAUAAACAAAAGAUAAAUAAACAAAAUGGCUUCUCAUGGAAGCCACAUCGAGAAGCAUCUGGAGAGAGGAAGUGGGAAAAGAAAUAUAUAAGAGACAAGGAUGAUAGGAGAAGGACUGUAAAUGGUUACUAAAUCAAUUUUUCUUAUUGCCUCUACCUCUCUUACGAAAGCAUCUGUGUUGAAGAGGGGAAAUCGCUGAGCACUUCUUUGGAGCUUAACGGGAUGGAGAAGAACUAGAGAGUAAUACCUGAAGCUUCAAGCUGGAGUAAAAAUCAAAGAAGGAACGUAUUUGAAGGGGGAAGUGCCUGUGGGAUUACUUCAUGGUGGAUACGGGUUAAAGAUUUAACUUGUGAUUUUGUGGCCUGUUAGGUGGUGAAUAGCUAUCACGGAAAUUAUACGAAAACCCAAGGAAGCGGGGUGCGUGCUAACAGUAGCUCAGGUGAGUGGAUAGGAAACUUUCCUGGUACACAAGAUCCACGCUCACCUAUGACUUGACAUUACUCUCAGUCAUUGUGAUAUGUUAACCUGUUUGCUAAUUCUUUGCCGUAAAAGAUUCUAUCAUGGUU